rnacentral:rRNA from 1 species
UACGUAGGGUGCAAGCGUUGUCCGGAAUUAUUGGGCGUAAAGAGCUUGUAGGCGGUUUGUCGCGUCUGCUGUGAAAUUUCGGGGCUCAACCCCGAACUUGCAGUGGGUACGGGCAGACUAGAGUGCGGUAGGGGAGACUGGAAUUCCUGGUGUAGCGGUGAAAUGCGCAGAUAUCAGGAGGAACACCGGUGGCGAAGGCGGGUCUCUGGACCGACUGACUGACGCUGAGGCGCGAAAGCGUGGGGAGCAAACAGG